GGGCCAGCCUACAUGCAGUUCGACGGGGUGGACGGGGGAGGAAGGCUUCGGCCGGAAAACCUGUGCAUGAGUGGCGGACGGGUGAGUAACGCGUGGGCAACCUGGCCUGUACAGGGGGAUAACACUUAGAAAUAGGUGCUAAUACCGCAUAACGGGGGAAGCCGCAUGGCUUUUCCCUGAAAACUCCGGUGGUACAGGAUGGGCCCGCGUCUGAUUAGCCAGUUGGCAGGGUAACGGCCUACCAAAGCGACGAUCAGUAGCCGGCCUGAGAGGGCGGACGGCCACACUGGGACUGAGACACGGCCCAGACUCCUACGGGAGGCAGCAGUGGGGGAUAUUGCACAAUGGGGGGAACCCUGAUGCAGCGACGCCGCGUGGGUGAAGAAGCGCCUCGGCGCGUAAAGCCCUGUCAGCAGGGAAGAAAAUGACGGUACCUGAAGAAGAAGCCCCGGCUAACUACGUGCCAGCAGCCGCGGUAAUACGUAGGGGGCAAGCGUUAUCCGGAUUUACUGGGUGUAAAGGGGGCGCAGACGGCGAUGCAAGCCAGGAGUGAAGGCCCGGGGCCCAACCCCGGGACUGCUCUUGGAACUGCGUGGCUGGAGUGCAGGAGGGGCAGGCGGAAUUCCUGGUGUGGCGGUGAAAUGCGUAGAUAUAUGGAAGACCACCAAUGGCCGAAGGCGGCUGCCUGGCCUGUUGCUGAAGUUGAAGCANGAACCCGUGGGNAGCAAAUANGAUNAAAUACCCUANUA
rnacentral:rRNA from 1 species